UGGGGAAUAUUGGACAAUGGGCGCAAGCCUGAUCCAGCCAUGCCGCGUGAGUGACGAAGGUCUUCGGAUUGUAAAGCUCUUUUUGGCGGGGACGAUAAUGACGGUACCCGCAGAAUAAGCCCCGGCUAACUUCGUGCCAGCAGCCGCGGUAAUACGAAGGGGGCUAGCGUUAUUCGGAAUCACUGGGCGUAAAGCGCACGUAGGCGGAUGUGCCAGUCAGGGGUGAAAUCCCGGAGCUCAACUUCGGAACUGCCUCUGAUACAGCACGUCUUGAGUCCGAUAGAGGUGGGUGGAACUGCGAGUGUAGAGGUGAAAUUCGUAGAUAUUCGCAAGAACACCAGUGGCGAAGGCGGCUCACUGGCUCGGUACUGACGCUGAGGUGCGAAAGCGUGGGGAGCAAACAGGAUUAGAUACCCACGUAGUCCCUGAGCGGGCUGGCAAGGCGCAU
rnacentral:rRNA from 1 species